rnacentral:lncRNA from 1 species
CACACAUAGAAGGUCAAAUUCUCCUUUUCCAAAAAAAAAAAAAAAUCUAAAAUCUAAAAUUGUAUUUUAAUUGUUUAUUAAAAAUUUGAAACUUAAUCAUUAAGUUACGUUUUCACAUAAAAAGAUUUAUAAUUUUAAAUUUUGCAAAAAUGACUCAUGUUUGUUUGAAAUCGAUAAAAAGGGUGGGUGUUACUGUAAUGGAUAAUUCAUUGGCUGAAUUUGAGAGAGGCAACCACCACCCUUUGGAUGAAAAAUCCUCAACUCCUCAUUCAUUCCCUUGCGAGCUUUUUGUUUUUUGCAUCUCAACUCUCGAUUACAUUUUCCUUCAUACCUAAAUAUAACAAAAAAAGCCAAGCUGAUUGAGGCUCAGAGCUCAGGCAACAAGAGAUUCCAACCAUGCCAUGGCUGCAAAAGCCACCUCCAAGAUAUGGGUUGGAUUAAUCAGCUCACAUUGGCAAAAAUCAAUUAUUCUCAGCACCAUUGCUUCCAGUGGCAACAAUCAAUGAUCCAGCGGAAGCAUUAAAAAGGAGAUGGAAAAAAGACUUGGAAACCCAUUUACUUCCUCUGUUUAGUGAGAGGUUUGUUGGGAUUCUUACAAUAAUGGAGAAAUCAUUGACUGGAUGAAUGCAGAGAGAGGCAACCACCCUUUCAACGAAAAUCCCUGUUAGCCUCAUUCUUAUAGUACCCUGAGGCUGGUAAUACUACCCCUCAGUUUAAAUUGACGAAGAGAAGCUCAGAUCUGUGUUGAACAAGAGUAUAAAGAGAGUCCAACCACGCCAUGGCUGCAAAAACCAGCAUGCCCCGCCAAGAUACAGGUCGGAUAACCUCCAAUGCUCAAUUAAUCAGCUCAGAAGGGAAUAAAAGUUACAAAAAUCAUCAUCGCCUCUUCCUAGCCAUCCGAAGCAAUAAAAUCAACUGUUAGAGGAAAUAUAAUUGAAGAAGAAGAUGGAUUUAAGGCGUGAAGAAUCGCUUUCCUUAAAAGAGAUAUUGCACGUGUACAUAUUGGGAAAAUACUAGCAACUGCCUUCAAGAUACAACAAAGUCCUUAUAUAUACAUGCAUAUUUUUCUCUUUGGCCUACUUCUGGAGAGUGUUUAUAUUUAUAAACCUUAAGAGAUCGACUUUUCAUAACAGUCAUGAACAAAAAAUGUAUCUGUUCAAUUUAAGGCCUCUAUAUAUUGCAAAAUAUCCAACAACAUACCCAGUAUAGUUUCAUUUUUCUCUUUUUGCAAAUUAUAUCAAAAACAACUUUUCUCCAACUCCAAAUAAGUUACUUUUAUACCAAUUUUUCCAACUGAACAUAUGGUCUCACUUGGCUAUAGAAGUUGUGAACAUUAUCAGCAAAAAACAGUAAAGAGAUUUCACUUUUGUUUGAAUCUCUAUGUUGCACCGGCCAUCUCUGUCUUUCUCUGCUUAGAUACCAAGCUUCAUAAUUCAAAUCUGUGGCAUGCAUCGUACUCACCAACUGUUGCACUCUUAUCCCUAAACAAAAGGGAUAUUUCAAACUGGCAACAUGCACCCCUAUUACACAUCAAUUGUUGUACUAAUGCUGCAGGACCAAAGCCUCUAAGCCAUGGGUGGGAUGUAUUCAUAAAAACAGUAAAGGUUUAUGGUUGAACACAUUUGAAACAACAAAGAGGAACUUUUCAAAUAUAUAAUCGUCCAAUCAAGAGUGAUGGAUAGUGUAGCCAAGUGAGAAACAGCUGGUUACAACCAUAUAUUAGCUCAUCAACUAGAAUUGUUCCAAGCUUGUCCAAGUAUGAUAUUGGCAACAGGGAAAAAGAGGAGAUCAACAAAGACAGAGCCCCUUGGCAAAGUUGCCUUGUUUUGCAAUUCUUUUUUGCAUAUAUCAAACAAUUACCUAUUUUCAAACUUAAAUACAUAAAAAUACAACUACUAUAACAAUAUUUUUAGGUUAGUAGUGACAACAUAGAGCUAAAUAGAGGCCUCAUCUAUCAGAGUAACUAUGACAUAAAGCGUCAUUUGGAUGUUAAUCCAUGGCUUACUUGAGUUACUCAUCAUUUAGGAUGAAUUGCUACAUGAACAGCAUAAACAAAUUGAUUGAAGGAGAUCAGUAUGAAUUAUCAAGACUACUAACAAGUAUGCUUUCUUGUGAAGAUCAUUAUCAAUGAAAGAGAAACCCUAAAAGAUAAUACAUAGCAAAAACAAGAAACUCACGCAGUGAAACUUCUUUUAGAUAAGUAAUUGUGACAAGAUAGUGCUAAUAGAGGUCUCAUCUAUCAGAGUAACUAUGACAAAAGAAGCUUCAUUUGGAUGUUAACCCAUGGCUUACUGGAAUUACUCAUCAUUUAGGAUGAAAUAUUUCAGGCAUAAAAGUAAACAAAUUGAAUAGAAGGAUAACUCCUAACAUAAUACAUAACAUAGAACAGAAAGUAUCACAUCUUGUACAGAUAAUACAUAAGCAGGAACAAGAACCUGACAAAAUGAAGCAUAAAAUCAACUAGUGAAACUUUCUUCAGUAGUCUAGUCAAUAGAGGUCAUCUAUCAGAGUAACUAUGACAAAAAGCUUCAUUUGGAUGUUAAUCCAUGGCUCGCUUAAAUUACUCAUCAUUUAGGAUUGAGUUCCCUUCAUGCACAGAAUAGACUAGAACUAUUGACUUUCGGUUUUGGUAAUUAGGUCAAUCACUAGUGUUUCCAAAAAAGACCACGGAAAAAAUCUCAAGAAUUAGUGGUAUCCACAAAGCAAGCAACAACUGCAAAAUUUGCAUAAACUAUAAAAAUGAUCUUACUCCCAUAUAAUUUAUAAAUACACUGUCCUGCUCAAAAAAGAUUUAUGAUUUGGCUUAUAUUCUAACAACACAAACUGUAGUGCUCCUGCAUAAAUUGAUGCAUGUUAAAAAAUGAACAAUUGACGAAAUUAUGAACUUUCACCUAUAAGAAAACUAAAGCAUAUCAGCAACAAAGUAACUCAAAAAUACAUGUUAGUACUCAAAUGCCUAGGUUUCUAGACAAAGUGAAACACAUUUGGGCACAGGCUUUGUGAUUACUAUACAGAGUUCAUAAACAGAGAAAACAAGGGAUGACAUUAAGGCACACUUAUCUCAGAGAAAGAGCUUUCCUAUUCAUCAUAAUUGAAAAAAAAAUAGUUUCAUGUAUCAAAAAGGAACAUAUUUAUCAAAAGAAAGAAACUCAAAAAUAGGAGUUAACAUUCCUAAGUUCCUAGUCUAACAUUUUUAGGCACAGUCGUAUCCAAGAAGCACCUUUAGGAACACCUAUUUUUUAUCUGAGAAUUGAUAGCAAAAGAACCCAUGGGCUGUCAAACUCAGGAAUUCAUUUCCUGAGCCCAAAAAACUUAUUCUUUUAAAGAAAUCAAGCAACAAGGUAGGUAAGCUUUUAGUUGUUGGAGAAUUAUGAGACAGAAAAGGAAGACAAAAAUGGAUCUUCCUCCUCCACUUUUCAGACUCAUCUGGAGCUGCCACACCAAGAUAGAGUCAUUCUAGCUCAAUGAGUUUAUAUGUCUGUUUCAUCUUCCAAAGAAGACAAGAAACUUUAAUUCUUCAUUGCCUCCUUGAACAUAAUUUGAGACGUAGGAAGUAGCAACCAAAAAAAAACAUAGGGUGUAACAAAUGGAAGGGUGUUUUUUGUAAUCAUUUGAGUGAUCAUCGGCAUCAAAGAGUAACAGAGAGCGGCAAACCACCCAUUGGAACUCCCUAAAGCUCUCUGCUUUUACACAGCCUCAGACUCAAACUAAUGAGAUAAGGCUCAGAUUCGCCUUUUCUCAGACAAAACCAAAAAGCUUUUAAAAAGACAGCGUCAUGGCUGCAAUCUUCAGUUAGAUUUAUGAGACAGAAAAGAAUACUUUCUCCUCCAUUCUCACCAGACCCAUCUGAACUGCCACGCCAAGAUACAAUUUUUUUCCAGCUCAAUGGAAAUAUAUGUCUGAUUCAUCUUCCAAAGAAGACAAAUUCUUUCAAAUCUUCAUAGCCUGACAGAUUGGGACUGAGGGGUAACAGCAAUUGGGAACAAAGGAAGGUCUAGUGGAAGUUCACCAAAAGGGUGGUUUUUUGCAAUCAUUUUGAGUGAUCAUCGGCAGCAGAGAAUAACAGAGUGGCAAAACCACCCAUUGAAACUCCCUAAUCCUCUGUGCUUUCACCGCCGCCUCAUACUUAAACUAAUGAGAUUUGUGCUAUUUUCAUGUCAAUGCUGCUUCUUAUAUUGUGCCCUAAUCAAUUGGGCCUUACUUGAAAAGCCCAUCUCGUCGGGUCGAAUUCAAUUGACCACAAUUGGAGGAAGAAGAUUAGGGCUUGUAGCCGUUGAUUAUACUCACCAGUCACCAGCAACGGCAACACUGAAUUUUCCGGUGGAAACAUAAAGAAAAAAGAUCAUAUUUGUGCAAAUUUCUGUAUGAAAAAAGAACAGUUCCAAAUUUCCAGAAGAAAGGGUUGUUUGGAAUUGUCACAGAGAGAAGCAAACCACCCUUCAAUGAAAAAUCCUUAAACUCUCUGUAAGCCUGAUUCUCUCCCUUCUGAGCUUUUUUUGCUUUCUUCAAUUAUCAAAAAGAGCUGGUUUUUGAUCGACUCUCCAUUCAAGUAAAGGAGAAUCAAUACUAUAAAAUAUUGGGAAGAAAAAAUAUUUUUAACAAGACAAAGAUUACAUUAUACUGUAUUAUUUUGAUGAAACACAAUAUUAAAUUUAGAAUGCCAUGCACCAACAAUACAAAGAAUAAAAACACAAGAUAACAGGUAAGAGUAAUUACAACAAAAGUAAAGCCUAAAAUGGGAUAUUACAAGUUCAAGCCCAAGAAAGUAUGCUCUUUGAUCCACCACUACUACUGACCGAGCUCAAAGUAGCUGUUACAAGUCAAACACUAUGAACUUGGAAAACAUAAUUAACAAAAAAAAAAAGUGAUCUAUCCACUGUUACUAUCCGCUUUUAGGUCCACGACUAUUAUCGACUCAAUCCCAAAGUAGGAAAAUAACAGACUAAAGCGAGGAGUUCAUUAGCCAUACAUAGUUAAGGAGGAGACAUUCCCCAUGCUGCGGUUCGGAAAGGUCUUCCCAAGCAGGUCACUGGGAGCUAAGACAGGCCAAUGUUUGACUCGUUGUCAAACUCAACGCAGAUAAGGGCAGACAGCAAAAUGGGGCAUCCAUCGGCAGAAGAGAUGUGAAAAAUCAACAAAACUAAAAGUAUAUGAGCAAUAUUUAUGACCAGAAAGAAUAUGUAAAUGAAAAAUAGCAACUCCUUUUGCCAUCUUGCAAAAAGGGAAAAGUAACAAAGAAAGGAAUUGUGAAUUACUGGUACUUAAUACAAGACUCAGAUCAGUUUAUCACAGCUUCCAUGGCUGCAACCUAGAGCAGGUUGCCCUGCGAAGUUGCUGAGUCUUAUCAUCUCAAUGCAAACAAAUAUUGCUAUUUGUCAAAAAAACAUAUCAUCACUGCCUCGAUUUUUCACUUCUUUUUUAUUGGAGCGUGAUUCUCGCUGUUUAUGUGUUAAUGCAGCCACAAAGCAGCACGGUGAGAACCAAUAGCAGUAAAAGAUAAUUAUUUAUGUGCAUCUUCUCAAGCUAGAGUUACAAGAAAGAGCUAGCCGCUGUUACUUACUUCCAGCAAGAUUUCACAUCUUGGCCUUACCAGCAAAACCGAAUCAAAAAAUAAAUUAUUCACAUUUCUCAUCAAUGAUGUCUCAUUUAACGAUUUCCCCAUCAAACAAUGUCCAGAAGAAUUACUGGCAAUUUUGACACUCGCAGCUGGCUACUAAUGAAUGGUCAAAGAGAGAGAGGAGACAACGCCAUAGCUGCAAAAGAACCAGUUGCAUGUGAUCGAGGAGUCUCAAAUCACAUACCAUCAUGGGUUUUUGCCAAGCCAAGAUACAGAUCUACUUGUCUGUAAACCCGAACAACCUUUUUUUAAGCCAAGAUAAGCAAAUAUCAUCUGCUUCGUUGAUUCUGGUAGCAUAGGAUUCGGGGAAUUUGAGAUGCUUUGGACCUGAGCUCAUAAAUCAGAAUGAGGUCCAACUACUGCUGCUGCUGCUGCUGAUGUUAAUGCUCCCUCUGUUUUCUAUAGUGAAGAAAGGAAAAGGACUAGAAGAGGGCUGUUGGUUUUGGUAAUGGAGAAAUGAUGCAAGAGGCUCAGAUUAUGUCUUCGGGCUUUGAGUUCUUUGUGCCCAGCCAUAGCUGCAAAUUUCCAGAAAUUCAGAUUGCCCCGCCACAGCAGCUACAGAACUCUUAUGCCCGACUCAAAGAGCUCAGCAAAACUAUCAUCAUAGCCUCAUUGUUUCCUCUUGCUGGCAUUAUGAACAUGUACUCUGUUUGCAUUGCAUUGAAACAGAGCCAGUGAGGACCGACAACCGAAACAUAUGCACAAUGCAUUAGAUACACAAGAAAUAUGCAUAUGCAUAAACAGUCGUCUAGUUAAAAAUAAAAGCAAAAAUAAGUCAGCAGAAUGUCAGAGAUGGCCAUCCACACGGAGAAGUUCAACACAAAGAGAAAUCACCAGAACGUCUGAGAUGGUCAUCCACACAGAGUAUCAUCUCUCACAGUAUUAUUAUUGUUUAUUUAUUUUCUUGUAUAUUUCGAAGUGCUGUUGGUCUUUUUGGUUAUCAAUGGAGAAAUCAUGGGCAGAGAGAGGGCAACCACCCUUUGCAGAAAAUCCCAAUCUCUCUGAUGCCUCGUUCUUCUUUCAUUCUAGGCUAUGCUUUGCUGAUACCGAACAAACAAGAUUAUACAGCAAGAUGAUUUAUAGCUUUUAGUAGAAAAUCGCAGGUUCAACAUAUCUCAAAAUUGAACCAUGGAAAUAUUCUUUCCCUAUCUUUCUUUUCAAGCAAAUGGGACUCAGAUGUAUGUUAUGACAAAAGCGAAACAUAAGCCAAUCACCGGUUGCAUGCAAGAGACACAAGCAGCAAUCACAAGCCAUACCGGGUCACCACACCAAGAUACAGAUUGGAUAAUCUCAAUGCACAAAUUGGUUAGGUGUUAACUUUUGGAAAACUUCAAGGACCAAAAUUGUUAAGUGCAUAUUUAAGGGACUAUUUUGGACAUACCCUCAAACAUAAAGAGAUUUGUCAUUUUCUCCCUAAUUCUGAAUUCAGAGCCGAAAUUUCAACACACGCAAUAGGUUUUCCAACCAGGGAAUAGACUCACCAUGGAAGAUCAUGAAAUGGGUUAUUCAGGGCUCAGAUUUGUUGUAUUUCUUAACAAAGAAAAGAGAAGAACGCCACAGCCAUGGAUGCAGACACCAGUUUGCUAUUCAAAGCCAUAACCGGGUCGCCCAGCUAAGAUGCAGGUUUUUCUCAAUGCUAUAUUGAACACAGCUUCAUAGCCCAAAAAGGAAAGUAAGCAAUCAUCAUAGCCCCCUUUACAACACCAGCAGCAGCAACAGCAUCACAAGAAGACGAGAGGAAGAACAACAAGAGUACAGAGGUGUGUUUGGAUGACAUUUUUUUCCCUUUUGUUUAUUUAAAAGGGCUGUUAUUUUUUGGUUAUCAAUGGAAAAAUCACUGGCAAAGCAGAGACGGGCAACCACCCUUUUACAGAAAAUCCCAAUUUCUCUGAUGCUUCAUUCUUCAAAGCUGAAAUUUCAUUUGAGGGCUCAGAAUUGCUAUAUCUGAACAAAGCAAAAGAGAGAAGUGAUGCCGCCAUGGAUGCAGACACCAGUUUGCUAUUCAAAGCCAUAACUGGGUCGCCCUGACGUCUACUGAAGCAUCUCUUGCUGCCCUAAACUGGCAACUGGGCUACAAAGAACCAUAUUAUCCUGCCUCAAUUUUCUAGUAUGAUUUUCUCUGUUGGUGUUCACACAGCCAUGUAGCAGCAAGAAAAGAGAACCAUCAGUAGCAGAACUGACUGAAUGAACAACUAAAUAAAUAAAUAAAUAAACAAUUCCCAUUUCUCAUUGAUGCCUCAUUUAUGAGCUGGCUUUCAAAAUAAGUGAAAACGGGUUUUCACCAAACAAUGUCCACAACUACUUGCAAUUUGAGGCUCAGAUCUGGGCUAUUAAUGGGGAAAAGAGAAAGAGACCACGCCAUGGCUGCAAAUAUCACGAAGCAACUGCAGUUCACCAAGCCAAGAUACGGGUCUGAUUGUCUUUAUCCUGAAGCCAGAUGAGCAAAUAUCAUACUGCCACUUUGAGAAAAUGGCUGCAUAAUUUCAAGAAAUUAGGAUACUUCGGAUUAAGCCUUAUUAACCAGAUUGAGGUCCAAGUACUACUACUACUAGCACUGUUAAUGCUUUGCUUAAAACUGGAGGCUCAGAUGUGUAUCUGGGGCAUUGAGUUUUCUGGCACCUGCCAUGGCUGCAACUCACAGAUAUUCAAGUUGCCAUGCCAAGAUACAGGCAACAAAAAUCUAAUGCACGAUUAUGUUUAGCUCAGCAUAGUGCAGACACUAUCAUCACAGCCCAAUUGUUUCCCUUUCCGAGUCCAUUGCUUUGGAACACAACCAGUGAGGACAAAGCUAAGAUGCUUGAAUUAAUAAGCACAAAUCCACAUGUACAAAUGCAGAAAUAUACAUAAACAAGGGUUCUCAGGUUUAGAGCAUAAAAAAAAUCAUUGGCAUGUUAAAGAUGGUCAUCCACAUCGAGAAUCCUUUGUGGUGGUGUAGUUGGUUAUCACGUCAUUCUUAACACAUAAAACUAAAGAAUACCAAUUCCAGAGUAAAUUACCAUUGAAAACUAUCAACGGUCGCAUAAAGAGGGUGUUAUUGAUCUCUCUCCGUCAAAGAAGGUCUCGUGUUCUAUUCCCAGGUUGUAAGGAAGGAAAUUUGGAAAAUGAGGCUCAGUCUCAAUUUUCUAUUGGGGUAAAGAUAAGGCAACCAUGCCAUGGAUGCAAAAUAACCAAUUGGAUUGUGAAAGAGAAGCCUAAAAUCACAGCCCUUGUUGGUGUUUGCCAAGCCAAGAUACAGGUCAGGAUGUCUCUAUGCCCAAAAGGAAAUGAGCACGGAAUUUAAAGUGGCCUCAAAAAAAGACCAUUUUUGUAAAUGCCGAUAAACAAUAAUCAUCACAGCCUCUUUCAGAUGAAGUUCACUCUUCCAUGGAUUUUAAGAAAUUGUAGAAAUUUUUGGACUAAAGAAUUCAAUAAUGCCUAAUGGCGAAGGCGCCAGAAUUUGCUGGGUUUCCUCGAGCUAAGGAAGAAUAAGAGGGUUGUUAGUUUUGUUAGUUAAGAAAUCAUAGGCCAAACAGAGGGGACACUGCCCUCCUAGAAGUCCCUUUUGCCCCAGUUGGCCUCAUCUUCCUUCUGGGCUCAAUCUCCAUUAUUACUUUUGUCGAGGAAAAAGCUUGUAGUUAUGCAACGUACUAAUAUCUAGAUUCUCUUUAGCCCUUCUUGCAGAGAUGUACCAUGCUAUUAUUUGUGGCUAUUUCGCUCGGAUUCAAAAACAUUGAAGGGUGUGUCGGAUACUCCAAAAAUAGUGUAUUUUCGGAGAAUCCAACAUGAGUGCAACGACAUUUUUGGAGAAUCCGAAGCAAUAGUAACAGCAGAAGCACAACGAGACAGAGGAAGAGCAAGAAGAAUAUAGAGGGGGUGUUUGGAAUUUGGAUGAAGUUUUUCAAUUUGCUUUCUUUUUGUUUAUUUGAGAAAGGGUUGUUGGGUUUUUUGGUCCAUUAAUGGAGAAGUCACUGGCACAGCAGAGAUUGGCAACCACCCUUCACAGAAAAUCCCAAUUUCUUCAACGCCUCAUUCUUCAAAGUUGCAAUUUCAAAGCAAACCAAAAAAAUGAUUUUCUACCCGAAUGGGUUAUUGAGGGCUCAGAUUUGCUGUAUUUGGACAAAGCAAAAGAGAAGAGCGACACCACCAUGGCUGCAGACACCAGUUAUCUAUUCAAAGCCCUAACCAGGUUGCCCUGCCAAGAUGCAGGUCGGAUAUUUUCUCAAUUUCCAUGAUUGAACAUAGCUCAGAAAGGAAGCAAUCAAUCAUUAUAGCCCCUUCAAAACAUUAUCAGCACAAAGAGAGGAGAAAGAGGAAGAGUAGUAUAGGGUGUGUUUGGUAUAAAGUUUUUAUUGUUGUUGUUGUUUAAUUCAAAGGGCUGUUGGGUUUUUUUGGUCCAUUUAUGGGGAAAUCACUGGCAACGCAGAGAUGGGCAACCACCCUUUACAGAAAUCCCAUUCUCUGACGCCUCAUUCUUCAGAGUUGAAAUUUCAUUGGAAAUCCGUAAUGGAUUUUCCGACCCGAAUGGGUUGGGGUAAAGGCUGCACAGACACCAUCUUCCCCCACACCACUUCCGGAUAUGUUGUUGUAGUAAUGGGUUAUUGAGGGCUCAGAUUUGCUGUACUUGAACAAGAGAAGAGUGACGCCGCCAUGGCUGCAGACACCAGUUUGCUCUUCAAAGCCUAACCAGGUCGCCAUGCCAAGAUACGGUAGGAUAUUUUCUCAAUUACCAUGAUUGAAUAUAACCCAGAAAAGAAGCAACAAUCAUCAUAGCCCCUUCACAACAUUAGCAGCACAAAGAGAGAAGAAAGAGGAAGAGCAAGAAGAGUAUAAGGUUGUGUUUGGUAUGAAGGUUUUUUGUUUUUUCUUGUUUAUUUCGAAGGGCUGUUGGUUUUUAUGGUCCAUUAACGGAGAAUUCACUGGCAUAGCAGAGAGGGGCAACCACCCUUUCAGAAAGUCCCAAUUUCUCAGAUGCCUCAUUCUUCUUCCUUUCUAGGCUAUGCUCAACUUAGCUUUUGUUUGCCAAGAACAAUAUCAUCACUGCCUCAAUUUCACAUUUUUCUAGUAUGAUUCUUGCUGUUUAGGUGUUCAUGCAGCCAUGCAGAAGCAAAAAAACGUGGGCUUACUACCAACACUGAAUGAAUGAAUAAUAAAUAAAAAGUUUGUGUUUCUCAUGAUGCCUCAUUGAGCUGGCUUUUAAAUAAGUGAAAUGGAUUUGGUUUCCACCAAACAAAUGUCUAGAACUACUUGCAAAUUUGUGGCUCAGAUCUGACCUAUUAAAGGGAGCAGAGAAAGAGAGCACGCCGCAGCUGCAAAAGUACCGGUUGCAUGUGAAAGAGAGGCCUUAAAUCACAUAGCAACUGGGGUUUGCCAAGGCAAGAUACGGGUCUGAUUGUCUUUAUUCCCAAAGCUCAGAUAAGCAAAUAUUAUCACUGCCGCUCCGAGAAAAUGGUUGCACAAUUUUCAAGAUAUUAGGAUAAUUUGAAUUAAGCUCAUAAAUCAGACAGAGGGCCCAAGUACUACUAUUACUAUGUUAAUGCUUUGCUCUCAGCUGGAGGCUCAGACUUGUAUCUGGAGCACUGGAAUUCCUGGAAACCUGCCAUGCCUACAAACAAAUACAGAUAUUCAAGUUGUCAUGCCAAGAUACAGGUUACAAAAAUCUAAUGCCUGUUGUAAUUUAGCUCCCUUUUUGAGAUCAUUGCUUUGGAACAGCCAGUGAAGACAAAUCACGACAACUGAGACAUAGACAUCUAAAUAUAUUUAUAUGCAGAAACAUUACAUAAAAGGUUGCCUGGUUUAGAGUGAAAAGAAAGCACCUGCAUGUCGAAGAUGCUUAUCCACUCUGAGAAUCAUCUGAUCCCCUAAAGCCUCAUUCAUUGAGCAGAAAUAAAGUUGUAGUUGGUUAUCACGUCAGUCUAACACAUAAAACUGAAGAACCCCAAAUCCAGAGAACGACCUUCAAUUGAAGACCCAAUCGAUGGUUGCACUAAAAUGAUGUUGUUAUCUCCUGUGAAAAGAAUUCCAGAGACUUACCACAUCAAGAGAAGGGAAAAUCCAACUUCUCUUUGAAACGAGGCAAAAUGAGUUUCCAUUAAAGAAGGUUGCGUGUUAGAUUACCAGGUCAGCGGGUCAUCAAAAGGAAAUUUAGAAAAUGAGGCUCAGAUCUCAGUUUCUGACGAGGCAAAGAGAAGACGACCAAGCCAUGGCUGCAAUCGAAUCAAUUGCAUGUGAAAGAGAAACCUCCAAUCACAGACCAUUCCGGUGUUUGCCAAGCCAAGAUACGGGCGGGAUGCCUCAAUGCCUGGAUGGAAAUGAGGAAAAAUUUAAAAUAGCGGUCCUAGAAAAUUGUCGUAAAUGGCCCAAUUAACAAGUAUCAGCACUGCCUCUUUCAGGAAAUGGCCUAAAUGACCCAUUUUCUCAAAGUUUGGUCAUUGGUGGCAUAUUUGAGUCUUCUCCUAUUAAAAAAUGAUUUAAUAAAUGAUAUGGCUGAAUACUAAUUGACCACGUGUAAUAAAUGGUUUUGCAAAACCAAAACUUUUUUCAAUUAACAUAGAAUGGCAUGGAUGAGCCUUUUCGUAAACGGAAAUGGCAGAGAUGAGCCAAACUUUUAAUGGAUAGCACAAAUGAGUCUUUUCUCAAAGUUCAAUGACAUAUUUGAUCCUUUUCCCUUUUUUAAAAAAGAGAAAGUUACCACACCAUGAUAAGCCCUAAUAAUAGUUUCCCAAUUGAUAAGACAAAGUGAGGCUCAGAUCAGUGUUAAGCUCGGGCAACAAGAGAGUCCAACAACAUCAUGGCUGCAACAACCACCAGAAAGUCUGGGAGCAUGCCCCGCCAAGAUACAGGCCGGAUGGUCUCAAAUGCCUGAUUAAUCAGCUCAGAAGGAUAUUAAAAAUUGACAAAAUCAUCAUUGCCUCUUUCAAGCCACGGGUUAUCCACAACAACACAGCUUCCAACACCAGCAUUCAAUGCUCCGGCAGAAGCAUUAGAGAAAAGAGAUGGCAUAGCAUGAAAGGGUAUAUAGAAACCAUUUGUAAUGAUAUGUAAACAACCAUCCAAACAAAUUGUUAAUAUUACUCCCUUCAUUAAAAUUGAUAAAAGGGUUGUUGGGGACUUGGCGUUCUUACAGUAAUGGAGAAAUCAUUGCCUGAUGCAGAGAGAGGCAACCACCCUUUCAAUGAAAAAUCCCAAAACUCUCUGUAGCCUCAUUCUUUCCCUUCGAAGCUUUUGCUUUGUUCAUUUAACUAAACCGAUGGAGAAAGUGAGGCUCAAAUCUUUGUCUUCCCUUUAGAAUGUCUCUUUCCUUUUUUGGCAACAUUUGACUUCUAACUUUCCACGUGACGCCUUUAAACCCACAAUAUUAAAAGGCAUCUAGGAACAUUCUACAUAUCUUAAGAUAAAGAUCUCCGGGUUGCCCCCGCUUAGAUACGGAUCCAAUUGCUCUACCGCACUAUUGAUUUGCUCAAAGGAAGAAGACAAUCUUCAUCACGGCUUCAGAAUUUUUUAAACAAUUAUUAUUAUAACUGGGUGUGAGAAUUUGGAGAGAACAAGCAAAGACUUAAGCGUCAUUUGGUCUCUGUUUAACUGCAACAAGAGCUGUUGAGUUUUUCUUUUUUCACAGCAACACUGAAAUCAAAAUCACAGUUAUUGCAGAGAGGAGCGACAGCCCUUUGAAGGGUUCCCCUCUACUCUCUCCAACCCUCAUUAUUCGUCUCUGAGCUAAGCUUUUUUUCCUUUAAAAGAGAAAUUCUCAUGUGUUUUUCGACCUGCGAAUUUCACAGCUGCAAUAACAACAACCCAGCGUUAUCUCACUCCUACCUUGUGGAGUUAACUAGAUUGUUUCCAAUACUGUACAAAUGAAACAUUGAGGCUCAGAUUUGUAAUACUUACAACAUGGCAAGAGAGACUGGAAUCACCGCCAGGGCUGCAAGCACCGGUUGCAAGGUAACCUGCCAUCCAGGUAGCCCGCCAAGAUAUGGGUCCAUUUCUUUCCUGUACUAUUGAUUUGCUCAGAGAAAGAAUAAAAUCAUCAUCAUAGCCUCAUAAUUUUCGCAACAACCAUUACUACUACUACUGAUUAUCCCUUUAAAGUUGAGAAAUUGGAGAGAACAAGCAUAUUGCUGUUUAACUGCAGAAGGGCUAUUAAAGAUUCUUUUUUUCACAACAAAAAUGAAAUCACAGGUAUUGCAGAGAGGAGCAACAGCCCUUUGAACUUUCCCUCUACUCUCCGCAACCCUCAUUUCCGUCUAUGACCUUUAACUUUUCUGGACUAAGCUUUAUUUCCUUUUAUGGGAAAUUUCACAGCUGCAUUUUAAAGAAAAACCAAUAAAGCUCAGAUCUGUAUUACUCACAAUACAGCAAAGAGAGCCUCAAAUCACCGCCAUGGCUGCAACCACCGGUUUCUAGGUCACCUUCUAUCCGGGUUGCCCCGCCAAGAUACGGGUCCGAAUGCUCUCCUGCACUAUCCAUUUGCUCAUCAGAGAAAAAAAAAACAGAGUACAUCAUCAUCACAGCCUCAGUUUUUCGCAACAAUUAUUAUUAUUAUUAUUAUUAUUAUUACUGUAUGAUUCUAGCAAAGGUGUCGUUAGGUCGGUAUUUAGCUGCAAAAAUGCUGCUGAAAUUAUCAUUUUUUCACAGCAAAAAUUGAAAUCACAGGCAUUGCAGAGAGGAAGCAGCACAGCCCUUUGAAGUUUUGUCUUCCACUCUCUGCAAAUCCUCAUUCUCUUUUCUCUGAGCUUUUUGGAUUUCUACUGUAACACCAUCUCCAACCAAAUCCUAUUUUAGUGUUGUGGACUUUCAACCCUUAUUAUGUUUUAUUACAUUUACACUAUUUAGACAUUGUAUCUGAGAUUAUAUUGUAUUAUUAAUUUAAAUAUAAUUAUUUUAUAUUUAUUAAUUAAUUAAAUUCAUCGUUAUAUAAAUAAUAAAAAAUCUAUUUUGCGUAACUAUCAUUUAUAUGAUAGUGUCUUUAUCUUAACAUUUUUUUUUAUUUUGUCUUUUACUUAUUAUUAAAAUAAUUUUAUUUUAUCGUUAUCAUAUAUUUUUAUAGCAAUUUAAUCUUGUACUCUAUAAUAUUUUUUUAAAUUUAUCAUUCAAAUUGUUUUAAAUAAUAAUAAAAAACAAUAUAAUUUAUUUAAAUAUUAUAUAAUAUAUAUUAAAAUAAUAUACUACAUUAUGAUACAAUACCAUGCAACAAAAUAAUAAGUAUUAAAUCAUGAUUCAUCUAUACUAUAUAUUUUUCACUUAUUAUUAUUAUUUGUAUUAUAUAAUAUUUUCAAAAAUAUAAAUAACAAUAUAAUAUUAAAAAGAGAAGAGUAUACUUAGAGACAAUAAAUAUUACUUUACUUUUUAGGGUAAAAUUUAAUGAAGAGAAUAGGAAGAUAAGCAACAUUACACCUUUAUUUGGAUGGUUAUAGUCUGAGAUAUUAUUAGUUUAAAUAUAAUAUUUAUUGAGAUUAUUAAUUUUAUAUUAUAUAACAUAAUAUAAUAUAAUAUAAUAUAUUAUAAAAUAAAUUCUUAUUCUUUUACCUUUUUUUUUGUGUGUUUUUAAAAAAAAUGAAAUAUUUCUUUUUCUUAUCACUUUAAUUUUAAUUUUUACAUGAAAUAUUUAACAUUACAAAGUUAAAAAUCGUUUUAAUAUAUUUGACAUAACUUUAAUUUAAAAUAACAAAAUUAAAUUUAUUUUUUUUUAAUCUUCAUUCCAAGUCAAAAGUCAUCCUUUUUUUUUUUUGAAGGAAGGUGGUAAUAAUCAUCUAAAAACAAAGUGGUCAUGGCUCGUGUGUGAUUGUUUUGAAAUUAGUUAUUUUGAAAUUGUUAUCCUACUUUUCAUAUGAAAUGUAAUAAUUAUUAUAGUUCCAAAGCAAUUUAUUUGCAAUUUGAUUUGAAUCCAACAUUUUGGUUAAGAAUUAACAGGUAAGUGAAGUGUUGAUUUAUUUCAAAGGUUAGACUUGUUGAUAUUUAUGGUUCAUAUUAACUAUAGUAGUUGUUCAGAUUAUAAGCAAAUUUUGGCUCGUGAUUUGCUAAGCCAAGUUAAUCUUCAUCAUCUCAACCCAGUUUUCUGGGAAUCCGAAGAGAUCACGGCCUCAAAUUUUAUGGAUUAAAAAUGAGAAAAUACAAACAAACAAAGACGAGUUUUGAAUGAAAUAUCAAUUUCCAGCAGAAGUUUUGUAUGAAUCCAAAAGUUAUUCAUUAUGAAUUUAGAGGCUCAGAUCUGCAAAAGAAAUCGAGGUAGAAGAGAGCCGACCACGCCAUGGCUGCAAAAUUUGCCAAGCCAAGAUACGGGUCGUAUAAUCUUCAUACCCGACCCGAUUAGCCCAGAAUCCAAAGAAAUCAUUAUCUUCAUCAUCGCCUCUCAUUAUUUGGAUAAAAAAAAACACAGAAGAAACAGAGUUUGUAACCAUAGUUGUUGAAGUUGAAGAAAAGGUUUAAUUUUCCAUGUUCAAUAAUUCAGUCAUUUCCCAGAAACACAUGCAUGUGUCCAAAAGGCUCAGAUCUGCAAAGAGAUCGGAACAAAGAGAGAGACGACCACGCCAUGGCUGCAAAAUUUGCCAAGCCAAGAUACGAGUCGCAUAAUCUCCAAGCCCGAUCCGGUUAGCCCAUCAUCAUCAUCAUCACAGCCUCAAUAGAUCAAACACCAACAAAGAGUGAGUAAUUAAUUAACAAAAAAGAGAAUGGCAUAGAUGUAGAAUUGGAAAGUUGAGGAAUAUAUGUAUGUUUGUUGUAUGUAUGUAUGUAUGGCAUGCAUGUUCCAAUAAUUCCCAGGAAAUUAACAUGAAUUCAAGGGUUGUUGCUUCAUCUCUAAAAGAAUCAUUCAUAGGCUAAACAAGAGAGGGGCAACCACCCUUGUUAAUAAAAUCCAAAAACUCUCUGUUUUGCCUCUUUUUUCUUUUCUGGGCUAACCUUUUCUUUGCUUCUUUUCCACCUUUAACUUUUGCCUUUUUUAUAACCCACUCUUGAAUAAAUUUAUCAUUUUUCUGUAUGUCUAAUGGAUAAUACUUUAUUUGAAAAUGUAAAAGCACAAACAACUUGUCAUUCUUAUCCAUUUCUCCUUGAAACAGAAUU